GGCUCCGCCAUGACCCGCAGACCACCAACCUCCUGUAUCUGGAGCUGGGAGACAAGCCCGCGCCCAACACCUUCUAUGUAGGCAUCUACAUCCUCAUCGCUGUGGGCGCUGUCAUGAUGUUCGUCGGCUUCCUGGGCUGCUACGGGGCCAUCCAGGAAUCCCAGUGCCUGCUGGGGACGUUCUUCACCUGCCUGGUCAUCCUGUUUGCCUGUGAGGUGGCCGCCGGCAUCUGGGGCUUUGUCAACAAGGACCAGAUCGCCAAGGACGUGAAGCAGUUCUAUGACCAGGCCCUACAGCAGGCCGUGGUGGAUGAUGACGCCAACAACGCCAAGGCCGUGGUGAAGACCUUCCACGAGACGGUGCGGCCCCGGGGGGCGAGGGCGGGGAGCAGGGCCCCGGGAACCCGGCGGGGUGUGUCUCGUCCU
rnacentral:sRNA from 1 species